rnacentral:rRNA from 1 species
UACGUAGGGUGGGAGCGUUGAUCGGAAUUACUGGGCGUAAAGCGUGCGCAGGCGGUUCGUUAAGUUCGUUGUGAAAGCCCCGGGCUCAACCUGGGAACUGCAAUGGAAACUGGCGGGCUUGAAUGCGGCAGAGGGGGUGGAAUUCCGCGUGUAGCAGUGAAAUGCGUAGAGAUGCGGAGGAACACCGAUGGCGAAGGCAGCCCCCUGGGCCGACAUUGACGCUCAGGCACGAAAGCGUGGGGAGCAAACAGG